rnacentral:rRNA from 1 species
UACGUAGGCAGCAAGCGUUGUUCGGAGUUACUGGGCGUAAAGAGUGCGUAGGCGGUCCUGUAAGUUUGGUGUGAAAUCUCCCGGCUCAACUGGGAGGGUGCGCCGAAGACUGCAGGGCUUGAGUAUGGGAGAGGUAAGCGGAAUUCCUGGUGUAGCGGUGAAAUGCGUAGAUAUCGGGAGGAACACCCGUGGCGAAGGCGGCUCUCUGGGACGGUACUGACGCUGAGACGCGAAAGCGUGGGGAGCGAACAGG